rnacentral:pre_miRNA from 11 species
CUUCCUGUGCAGGUGGGGAUUAGUAGCAAUGCUGUGUACCAGAAGGUAUUGCACUUGUCCCGGCCUGUAUAGGAAAA